AUUCAUUCCGUUCUACCAAAAUCUAAACCCAAAGCCGGUCUCUCUCGCACGGACGCACGCACCCGUCCUUGCUCCCUCCCCCCGACCUUCCUCCUCGCCCAAUGGCGCACCGCGAAACCAAAAUCUCGCAAUCCGAACCAACCCCAGCGAUAUAGCGCCGCCGCCGCUCGAUCCCGCCUCGCCGUGCCGGCGCCCCUGGAGGAUCCCAGCCCGUCGCGAGCCGCGUGGGGUUCCGCUCCAAUCCGAAUCCGAGCCUCCCGCAGGACGCCGCGGGUCUCGUCUCCGGCCUCGUAGGACUGUAGGAGGAGGUCGCCCGAGGGUUGGUUUCCGAGCUAGAUAUGUACGGGCAGGGAGGGAGCUUUAAUCCACACUAUCGCCAUGGCGCGCCGCCGCCCCAGCACCAAUCUGGGGUAACUGGGUCCUUCCCUCAGCAGCCUAUCCCACCACCGCCAGCACCGUACCCACAGCACCCAGGAAUGCGGCCUCCGCCUGGCCCGUACCAGCAUGGCGUGCCGCCACCUCAGAACCAGCCAUACCCUUUUGCCCAGCAGCAGAGAGGUUAUGCUCCGAUGCCGCUGCCGCCACAGCAGAGAGGCUAUGCACCGAUGCCAAUGCCAGGGCCGCCGCCACAACAACAAGCUACCUAUCAGGCCCCUCCACAGUAUCCCAUGCCGGGGUCCCUCCCUCCACCGCCGCCUCGGCCACCCAGCUUUGCUCCAGAGAAUGCACUGCCUCCAUCUGGCCCACCACCACCUCCUCCACCACCACCCCCAUCUCCUCCGCCUCCAUUGCUGUCUGCACCUCCCGCUCCUGUAGUUGCACAAUCAUGGGGUGCAGAGGCAGGAGGAAAAGAAGAAUGUGGUGAUGGUGGUGGUGGUGGUGAUGCCAAAACUCUGAAAGCAGCUACUCAGCUAAUUGUGUCUGAUGACUCAGACAUGGAUAUGGAUGGGGAUGAGGACUCUCCAUCAAGGCAACCUCUUACCCCAGAUAAUUCUUCCCUUGUGACUGCUGAAUGUACUGGAGAUGUUAAUGUGUCAAAGUCUGUCAGUGAUGUUUCAAGCCUGGGCAAGCAUUUGCCACCUGGCAGUGGUGAAAAUGCUAAAACUGCACAUGUAACUGUGGAUGGUGGGAGCCCAUUCAAACUAAUACAAGGUUAUGCCUCCGAUGACAGUGCAAAUGAGGUUGCUGCUGGUCCUGAUGGUGCCAGCACCCUCGUUGUAUUACCUGAAGAUAACAAGCUCAAUCAUCCAAUUGAUAGAAAUACUGAAAUUGGUUAUGACAAACAUCCUAAUGCAAAAAGAAAUGUGAAUUCCCCUCCUGGCACUGAGGAACAUGUUGAGGCUGGAAAGUAUCAUCUCAAGGAUGAAAGAAAUCCAGUGAAGCAUGGCACAGAUGUGCUCGGGCAUCUAGCCAAAGAAGAUUUAAGUGACAGUGAAUUUAAUGGAGGGCAAAUGAGUAAAAGGCAUGAGAGGAGACAAAAGAAACGAACCUGGAGCCAGUCGCCUCAGGAUAGAAGUCGUAGUCCACUGGGGUCAAACAAGGACAGUCCAUCCCAAAGUUCCUCACCUGGAAAGCAAAGCAGGCCACCAUUUGCUAAGCGGAUUCAUCCUUCUGUAGAAGGUAAUUCAGGAGAUAGAAUUGCUCAGCAAAAGGGCCUGGUGCUGACAGAGAAAUUUGAUAGUUCUUCAAAUGAUUUAAUUGGCAAAGUGGGAGAUAAGGGCGCACCUGAUGGUGCCCUUGGAUACAAUUGUCAUGGUGACAAUUUAAUUUCUGAGCCUUCACAACCAGUGGCUGAAAUCCCUGUGGGCCAAUCUGCUGGAAGUGCCCCGUUUGCAUCAGUACAGACUACCAAGAACUCCGUGGCAUGUGAUCAUCUCCAGCCUCAUCCUCAGAGUUUGUACCCUCCUGAACACAUGCCAUCCUCGAAUAUGGUUCGGCUACCAGGACAGUCAUUAUUUGCAACUUCAGAAUUCCCUCAAACGCAGUUCCAGCAUAAUGUUAUCGCACCAGCCAAUGAAUUCAUGCAGAACCAGAUGAGAAGCUAUCCUCCACCAGAUCCGUCUCAUCCUAGACCAUUGGAUUUCCAUCAUCAUACGCGCCCGCCAGCAGUUCCUUCUCACCAGCAGCCUUCUGCCAUUUCUGUUGAAAAUGCUCCAGUACCUCCUCCAGACAGAUGGUCUGAGUAUUCUGGUGGUGUAGGUCUAUCUUAUUCAUCUCAUCAUCCGCCAUAUGGUCAGCACCAGCCUCCAGGGAAUCUGGAUUCAGGAACUAACUUGGUUUAUCCUUCUUUCCAGAGAUUUCCAUCAAAUCUACCUGGAAGUAGCGAUCUUGGUCCUUUAUCUGAUGUUGGUUUGCCUAAAUCAUCUAUCAAACCCCACUACAACCCAUUUGCAUCUACCUUUGAACAAACAGAUCCAAGUCUAGAUAUUGGUCCUGUUGUAAGCCCAAAUGCAGUUGACUCUAUUUCCACAAAAGCAGAACACAUGAAUGCCCUGUCUCCUUUUGGUCAAUCAUUUCCUGAAUCCAGAACACAUGCCCACGAAAGUUCUGCAGAAGCUGUGCCCAAUAAACAAAAGCCACUCCGUCAGGACUUUGCUUCCGGUGCUCCAUAUGAUCCAUUGCUUGACAGUAUUGAACCAUCAAGCAGUUCAAUCAACAAGGUAGAUCCUAGUAAAGAGAAAAACCGGAGUGCUGAUAGUCGUGAUGUGUCAAAACUUAUGAAUAUAGAAGUGGACAGUGAAAAUAUGUACGGAUUGGGGGUUGUUGCUGAGUCAGAAGUUGAGGGACUUGGAGAGGUGGCAGCAGAUACCGAAGCAGGUGUGGUGGAGAAUGCAAGUCCUGAAUUCCUGGGUGCUAAAGACUGGAACUCAGAUAUUCCUGGUGAUAUUGACAAUGACCAAACAUUGCACAAAAAUAAGAAGGGUAAGGAUUCCCGAUCAAUGAAGCUUUUUAAGGUUGCUAUUGCAGAUUUUGUUAAGGAAGUUCUUAAGCCAUCGUGGAGGCAGGGAAACAUGAGCAAAGAGGCUUUCAAAACUAUUGUCAGGAAAACAGUUGAUAAGGUUUCUAAUUCAGUCCCUAGCAGUCAUAUUCCAAAAACACCUGCCAAGAUUAAACAUUAUGUGCAAUCCUCUCAAAGGAAGGUGACAAAAUUAGUAAUGGGGUAUGUCGACAAGUAUGCGAAGCUAUAGUUAGAUGAGUAAAUGGGAUUAUGCGCUGAACCAAUCAGAACUGUUAAGGUUCCAGAAUUUGUGAUGCAUACUAAAUGAGGCUGCAUGAAACAGUCAUUCAACAGUAAGGAUAUUGUUUGGUGGCAAUAUUUUUCGGACGGGAUAACAUCCAUCCUGCUAUUGCUAUGGACUAUCAAAGAUCAUAGAACGAUCCCAAUCUUAGCUAGAAGCUUGUCCAGAGCUAGUGGAUGCAACAGGAAAAGGACACGAAUGCACGACACCUUGAAGCUUUGGCAAGCUUGAGAAUAUGGUGUGUCCCGGUCCAAAUUUACUGAAAUUGUUUGCUUUAUACUGUCGAACUGUCAAAACAGCGACAAAUCUAGCCAAUAUGGUGUCUGUAUAAUUCGACUGUUGGAUUUACAUGAAACUGUCUAGAUCCAUUCCAUUUCCA